GGGGCUACUAGAGUUGGUUGGCUACUGUGAGAAGAAGGAAGAGUCAGUGCAUAGAGGAGAUGCCAAUAAGAAACAUCAAGGAGGAUAUCAAAAAAAGACAUUGUGAUCAUAGGUGCAGAUUUGCUGGUGGAAACCAAGCUUCUUGUGCCCUUAAAGAAAAAUGUACAGAGGAUCUUUCCAAACAAAGCUGAAUGCAUCUGACAUAACUGAGGAUCAGGUAGACUAAAUAGACUUGGUCUUCUUAAAUGGCAGCUGAAAAUGAAGUGCUAACAUCGUGAAUUGUUUUCUGAUACUGCUGUGGAGUUGCAUGCCUACAGAUGGGAGGCAUUAACUUUCUGUCUGUUACUCUAAGAGCUUCUUUUUUUGCUUGUGCCCUCUAGUAUGUUAAGCUGGAAACUAGACUUUCUGCAUAAUUGUACUUUUGUGGUUAUGGCAAAAACAACUUAGAAAAAAAUUUUGUUUUGUUGUCACUGUUGGUAAGUCAUAUAUUUUAUAGUAUUUAUAUUCCAUCCAUUUUGAAGUUGAGAGAGGUUGUUUGCGAAACCAGGUUCUAAUACUUAUGCCACUGUACCUUGAAUAAAAUAUUUCUGAAGCUAGGAUUUUGAAUAGUCAUGCUACAUUAGAAUUUUUGUAUGGGCUAGAGCCAUAGCAAUUUCUGCCUUCCAUGGUACUACUUCAAUUAAUAAAACAGAUAUUCGGGAAAAGAUUUUGUGAAGGAUAUGGAAAAGCCUAUGCUUUUCAUUAUAACAAUGAAAAUGAAUGAAUCUAUUAACAUCAUAUGAUUCAAAUAAAACCCCUGAGUUACCUACCUGAUGGCACAGAGGCUCCAGGCAGGAGGGUGUGUGCUAAGGAAAUACAAGUAGCUGAAAAGGGCAGUCAGAAUAACUGAAGCUGUUAGACCAAGCAGGCUGUCAUCAGUCCUAGACAGUAGGGUGAACAUCAGAAUGCUGAUAUGGGAUUUAAUUCUUUACAAUUUAAAGGAUGGGAAUAUGAGUCAACCAGCCUUUAUGGCUUGUGGAUCUGGUUUCAUUCCUCUGAUGAGAUAAGUUUGCUUCAUUAAAGCAAUUGUUUCAUACCAUAGAAAGUGCCUUUCAUAAAGCCCUGAACUGCAUGUUAUUGUAAUUAGAGGUCAACACUAUCUGAUAUUAAUUAAGUGUAAAUUAAAUGGAUUUAGACACUUGGUAGCUGGUAUACAUCAAGGUGGUGUCAUGGAAGAUUUAUCACUGAAUAGAAGUAUUUCAAAUAAGAUUUUGCAGAGAUGAGUUACAGGUCAAGACUAUGAAAUACUGUUUUAUAAAAAACUGAAAAAGCAAAUAUAAAAGCACUGUGAAUAAAAUUUAUGGAUGAUAUAAAGCAUGUCAAAGUAUUGAGAACUGAGGAGCCAAGUUAAGCAAUCUGGAUGUCUUAAACUGGUAGGAUGCAAGCAAAAGGUGAAUUUAGAUGUCAGGGUUCCUGCCUGCAGAGAGUCUUGCAUGUGAGGCUGCACAGGCUGGGGUGCAGCUCUGCUCCUGUUGCUCACACUCCUCUUGCCUGGCAUGCUAGUCUGGCUGAGGAGAACGACACUGACUGUGCUUGUGGCACCUGAGCCAGCUCCCUGCCCAUACCCACUGGGCUGUCCCUGCACUCAUCCUGUCCCCCUGCAAGGGUGCUCACAGACCAGCUGAAGUGGCACCCACAAGUAAGACAGGUUU